AGAGUUUGAUCCUGGCUCAGAAUCAACGCUGGCGGCGUGCCUAACACAUGCAAGUCGAACGCGAAAGCCCCGCAAGGGGUAAGUAGAGUGGCAAACGGGUGAGUAACGCGUGGGUGACCUGCCUUCGAGUGGGGGAUAACCUUCCGAAAGGAGGGCUAAUACCGCAUGACAUUCCGUGUUUGGAUACAUGGAAAUCAAAGCCGGGGAUCGCAAGACCUGGCGCUUGAAGAGGGACCUGCGUCCGAUUAGCUAGUUGGUGGGGUAACGGCUCACCAAGGCUCCGAUCGGUAUCCGGCCUGAGAGGGCGGACGGACACACUGGAACUGAGACACGGUCCAGACUCCUACGGGAGGCAGCAGUGGGGAAUUGUUCGCAAUGGGCGCAAGCCUGACGACGCAACGCCGCGUGGAGGAUGAAGACCUUCGGGUCGUAAACUCCUUU
rnacentral:rRNA from 1 species